rnacentral:rRNA from 1 species
GACGAACGCUGGCGGCGUGCCUAAUACAUGCAAGUAGAACGCUGAAGAGAGGAGCUUGCUCUUCUUGGAUGAGUUGCGAACGGGUGAGUAACGCGUAGGUAACCUGCCUUGUAGCGGGGGAUAACUAUUGGAAACGAUAGCUAAUACCGCAUAACAAUGGAUGACACAUGUCAUUUAUUUGAAAGGGGCAAUUGCUCCACUACAAGAUGGACCUGCGUUGUAUUAGCUAGUAGGUGAGGUAAUGGCUCACCUAGGCGACGAUACAUAGCCGACCUGGGAGGGUGAUCGGCCACACUGGGACUGAGACACGGCCCAGACUCCUACGGGAGGCAGCAGUAGGGAAUCUUCGGCAAUGGGGGCAACCCUGACCGAGCAACGCCGCGUGAGUGAAGAAGGUUUUCGGAUCGUAAAGCUCUGUUGUAAGUCAAGAACGGGUGUGAGAGUGGAAAGUUCACACUGUGACGGUAGCUUACCAGAAAGGGACGGCUAACUACGUGCCAGCAGCCGCGGUAAUACGUAGGUCCCGAGCGUUGUCCGGAUUUAUUGGGCGUAAAGCGAGCGCAGGCGGUUUGAUAAGUCUGAAGUUAAAGGCUGUGGCUCAACCAUAGUUCGCUUUGGAAACUGUCAAACUUGAGUGCAGAAGGGGAGAGUGGAAUUCCAUGUGUAGCGGUGAAAUGCGUAGAUAUAUGGAGGAACACCGGUGGCGAAAGCGGCUCUCUGGUCUGUAACUGAUGCUGAGGCUCGAAAGCGUGGGGAGCGAACAGGAUUAGAUACCCUGGUAGUCCACGCCGUAAACGAUGAGUGCUAGGUGUUGGAUCCUUUCCGGGAUUCAGUGCCGCAGCUAACGCAUUAAGCACUCCGCCUGGGGAGUACGACCGCAAGGUUGAAACUCAAAGGAAUUGACGGGGGCCCGCACAAGCGGUGGAGCAUGUGGUUUAAUUCGAAGCAACGCGAAGAACCUUACCAGGUCUUGACAUCCCGAUGCUAUUUCUAGAGAUAGAAAGUUACUUCGGUACAUCGGUGACAGGUGGUGCAUGGUUGUCGUCAGCUCGUGUCGUGAGAUGUUGGGUUAAGUCCCGCAACGAGCGCAACCCCUAUUGUUAGUUGCCAUCAUUCAGUUGGGCACUCUAGCGAGACUGCCGGUAAUAAACCGGAGGAAGGUGGGGAUGACGUCAAAUCAUCAUGCCCCUUAUGACCUGGGCUACACACGUGCUACAAUGGUUGGUACAACGAGUUGCGAGUCGGUGACGGCGAGCUAAUCUCUUAAAGCCAAUCUCAGUUCGGAUUGUAGGCUGCAACUCGCCUACAUGAAGUCGGAAUCGCUAGUAAUCGCGGAUCAGCACGCCGCGGUGAAUACGUUCCCGGGCCU